CUCCAUUUCCUUGUAACCGGCUUAUAAACUGAGCAUGCAUGACUGUUAGCAGAGCUUUGCAGACAGAGGUCUGAUGGCGCUCCAGAAACGUCCCCAGAGGGUGAGCGGAGGAAUCCCCAUGGCACCAGGAAGAGAGAGGCUGGAGAGGGGCGAGUGAUCUCCCACAGGACCUGCUGGGAACUGUGGGAGAUCUGAAGUAUGGACUCAAAUGCAUCCUCAGAACAUUCUAGCCCCCAAAGAAUGUGCCCACUGAGCCAGGGUCCUGGGUAUCUUUCCCUAGAACCUGGCAUGCUGACAGCAUCGAAUCUUUUUGGCUCCAAACAGUAUGGAUAUAAAUUAUGUUGCUGUAAUAGAAGGUCCUUAUCAAACUUUGGAUGUCCUAAAAUGGCAUUUGGGGUACACAAGAUGCUGUGGUUUUCUUCUCAUCCCAGCAUGCCCUGUGCCAUGGGUGCUGUGACGUCACCUAAGGAAACUUGUAAGAUCUUACUUUUUGGAUUUUUUUUUUAAAAUUUCUUUUUGGGUCAUACUUGUAGUGUGUCUAAAUUAUAUGGCCCCAGACAUUACAGUUUUAUUAUCCAUUUAGCAUUCUGGAUGACUUUGAAAGUAAAAACUUGAUGUUAUUAAAUGUUCAUAAGCUGGAA
rnacentral:lncRNA from 1 species